GAUGAACGCUGGCGGCGUGCCUAAUACAUGCAAGUCGAGCGAACAGACGAGGAGCUUGCUCCUCUGACGUUAGCGGCGGACGGGUGAGUAACACGUGGAUAACCUACCUAUAAGACUGGGAUAACUUCGGGAAACCGGAGCUAAUAACGGAUAAUAUAUUGAACCGCAUGGUUCAAUAGUGAAAGACGGUUUUGCUGUCAAUUAUAGAUGGAUCCGCGCCGCAUUAGCUAGUUGGUAAGGUAACGGCUUACCAAGGCAACGAUGCGUAGCCGACCUGAGAGGGUGAUCGGCCACACUGGACCUGAGACACGGUCCAGACUCCUACGGGAGGCAGCAGUAGGGAAUCUUCCGCAAUGGGCGAAAGCCUGACGGAGCAACGCCGCGUGAGUGAUGAAGGUCUUCGGAUCGUAAAACUCUGUUAUUAGGGAAGAACAAAUGUGUAAGUAACUAUGCACGUCUUGACGGUACCUAAUCAGAAAGCCACGGCUAACUACGUG
rnacentral:rRNA from 1 species